CAUCGUGAGGUGUAGGCGAGAAGAAGAGAUAGCGAAAUCGUAGCCCUACGGACAGAAACCUGAUAAUAAGGCGCUUAUGGUGGGUAAGCUGGCAAAAUGCAGUAAAGCCCUAAAGGUAGCCGUAACCCAUGAGCGUAAAUCAGGAGGGUAGACGAGGAAAGAAC
rnacentral:ncRNA from 1 species